AUGGAAGUGAUGAUUCUUUCCCCAACUGCUCGACUUUGAUGAUAAUCCAAGCCAGAAAUCUGAUCAAU